rfam:Salmo salar isolate Sally breed double haploid chromosome ssa04, whole genome shotgun sequence.
UGGCUCAGUUGAUAGAGCAUGGUGUUCGCAACACUAAGGUUGUGGGUUCGAUUCCCAC